CUUCGGCCCGAGUUGUAAUUUGCAGAGGAUGUUUAUGGUGCGGUACCUUCCGAGUUCCCUGGAACGGGACGCCACAGAGGGUGAGAGCCCCGUCUGGUUGGAUACCAAACCUGUGUUAAACUCCUUCAACGAGUCGAGUAGUUUGGGAAUGCUGCUCUAAAUGGGAGGUAAAUCUCUUCUAAAGCUAAAUAUUGGCCAGAGACCGAUAGCGCACAAGUAGAGUGAUCGAAAGAUGAAAAGCACCUUGAAAAGGGGGUUAAACAGUACGUGAAAUUGUUGAAAGGGAAGCGUUUAUGACCAGACUUGUGCCGUGUGGCUCAUCCGAGGUUCUCCCCGGUGCACUCCACACGGCUCAGGCCAACAUCGGUUUUCGCUGGGGGAUAAGAACAGUAGGAACGUAGCUCCCCUCGGGGAGUGUUAUAGCCUAUUGUACGAUACCCUGGCGGGGACCGAGGACCGCGCUUCGGCUAGGAUGUUGGCGUAAUGGUCAUUAGCGACCCGUCUUGAAACACGGACCAAGGAGUCGUCCAUUAGAGCGAGCGUUUGGGUGUAAAACCCGCACGCGUAAUGAAAGUGAAAUUAGGUGAGAGCUUCGGCGCAUCAUCGACCGAUCCUGAAGUUUACGGAUGGAUUUGAGUAAGAGUUUUAACGGACGGACCCGAAAGACAGUGAACUAUGCUUGAAUAGGGUGAAGCCAGAGGAAACUCUGGUGGAGGCUCGCAGCGGUUCUGACGUGCAAAUCGAUCGUCAAAUUUGAGCAUGGGGGCGAAAGACUAAUCGAACUGUCUAGUAGCUGGUUACCGCCGAAGUUUCCCUCAGGAUAGCAGUGUUGACCUUCAGUUUUAUGAGGUAAAGCGAAUGAUUAGGGACUCGGGGGCGCUUAUUAGCCUUCAUCCAUUCUCAAACUUUAAAUAUGUAAGAAGCCCUUGUUACUUAAUUGAACGUGGGCAUUCGAAUGUACCAACACUAGUGGGCCAUUUUUGGUAAGCAGAACUGGCGAUGCGGGAUGAACCGAACGGGGGGUUAAGGCGCCAGAAUGUACGCUCAUCAGACACCACAAAAGGCGUUAGUACAUCUUGACAGCAGGACGGUGGCCAUGGAAGUCGGAAUCCGCUAAGGACUGUGUAACAACUCACCUGCCGAAUGUACUAGCCCUGAAAAUGGAUGGCGCUCAAGCGUACUGCCCAUACCCCCCCUUCAGGGUAGAAACGAUGCC
rnacentral:rRNA from 1 species